GAGGGACUGGAGAAAGCAGCUACACGGUCCAGCCCCAGCAUCCAGGAGGCUCACUCUGGUUGCCUAUUAAACACUUUCAUGCAUUUUCCCCUCUCCCUGUAGCGAAACUCCUGAGGCACACAAGAGAGCCAAGUUGUUUCGUCUGUCCCAGGCAAGCCCAGAUGUGGAUGCAAUACCACCCAGAAGUAUUCUGAUCCAGUUUCACUGCUGAUCAGCAAGGCCUGAGGAGGAACCUGGUCACAUUUCACUCCAGUCUUUCGAGAGACCUCUGCACUCGUGUGCCCUACUCCUUCUCCGCCACCAGAUCACAUAAAGACACACUCUCCUUUCCUGGGGAGGAUGAAAGCUGGGAUGGCUGAAGGGAUGUGUCAGAUAUAAACACACUGCCUACAACUCCUAGCAGCAGCAGCAGCGGCUUACAGAUUUAAAAGUCUGAAGGAGCCUGACCCUUUGAUGGGGCUUCAUUCAUGUGAAGAGCUAAUUGCAUGGGGAAGGGUCUGCAGGCUGCAAUAGGUAAACUUCAGAGCAAGCUGACUAAGCAGACUGAGGAAAUGGCCCUAGGAUAUUUUUCAGGAGUUAAAGCCAGC
rnacentral:lncRNA from 1 species